CUUUAGCUGCUAUGAUGCAAUGCUAUAGAAGGAAGUUGAGGCAACAGCAGUCUUUGGCAGAGAAGGCUAAAGAACUUGUAGAGCUGCAGUUCCAAUGAUUCCAUAGCAUUGAGCCAUGACCUUGAAAGUGGUGUUAAGCUGCAAUAAUUAUACACUGUAGAUGCACCCUUUAUCUAAUACGCCAGUGACAGCUGAGACUGUUAUGUUUGCAAAGAGUCCUGUCUCGAGGAAAACCCCAGCUGUCAAACCAUUUCUUUGCCUCCAACGCCCGACGUUGACAUAUGUAUGACAGCUGAAGCUAAACCACAGCAUGGAUACCACAGAAUGCCAAGAUAGUGGAAGGACAGCAGGGAGGCAGCCAGUCCAGCCUACAUCUAAAGGAAAUUCAACAUCUUUUAACAAAACAGCUUUCAGCAAAUGAUUCUACAUUGCUGAGAUGACCACCAAGAAAGAUCCAUCAAACAUCUCCCAGAGGGGACUGAGACAGAACGAAGGAUCUCCCGUGAAGAUGCCAAGGCAUUGGUCGCCCAACGUAAUUAGCAGAAAAUAAUGUACUCAUAUGAAGAAGAGAUCAGUGAAUAUUCCAAGCUGUCAGCCUCUGGUUCAACAAAAUUAGAGGUGUCAACCAGCACUUAAGAUGUUGGUAGGUUGCAUGAAAAAGCGCUUUGUUUUAAUGGUUGCCCCAGGCUCCGGAAUUCUCUUUACAAGGGGCUCAGCUUAUCUGACUUCCUUUUGGCCUUCUCCAACAGAUGUGAAAUACUCCUCUCUCUUCUUUCCAGGAGACUUUGAAUUUAACAGCUUAAUUUGCUGCUCUUACUUUUUUGUUACUACUUUGAUGGAUGGAUUGAUUGAUUGACUGAUGUGACUCUGCUGAUAUUUUGCCUUUCAUGGUUAUUUCAGAUUGAUAAAGUGCAGACGUUUGCAUUAAUUGUUUUGUUUUGCUUCUACGUUUGUAUGCGGAAAGGAAGGCUUUAACAAUCUUUUAAAAAAUCGAUCAAACAAAUAAAUAUAAAUUAGUGAUU